GCACAAUCGUUUACCAACCAUCUCCGUGCCAAUCAGCUGAGCGAGUCCUAAAUAUGGGUGAGGAGUUUCUACAACAUGCUUAUCAAUCAAAAUGUGAAUUUCAAAUGGAAGUAAACAGAACAAUUACUUUGGAAAUUGAAGCUGGGGUAAGGCAAAUGAUAGAAUUCAUUUUACAGCGUAUGAAAAAAAAAUUCCCUGCAUUCGAGGUGGCUGACAUAAUACCCACAGGAAGUUUUUAUGAGGGAACGAAAAUGGGGGGCACCGGACGAGUUUGAUUUUAUGCAAACUUUAGCAAAGCUUUCUGGAACCGACAAAAUCUCUCUUCAGCCUGGUUGUUCUAGUUGGUAUCCUUAUAUCAAAUUACAACCAGGUGUUGAAUUUCCCCAGAAGUAUAAAAUUAAUAAUUUUUAUGAAGAACAAAUGAAAAAUAAAGACUUCCUUGGAAAUCCAAGAUUCGUUGCUACGGACUUUUGGAAAGAAAUUGCAGAUGAAGUCGCAAGUAUAAAUGCAUCCGAGUGUGUGAAAUUUCCACUUACUUAUGGAUCUAUGUAUUUUUUACCUUGUGAAAGGAAGAAACUGGAACUUCACUACAUACAAAACUCAACCUUACCACAAAAUGUUGACAUUCAAAUAAAAGAGAAAAUAAUUAAACUUGAGAGUUUAAUGAUUGGAGUUGAUCUCAUGUUGGCAAUUGAUCAUCCUUCCGUAGAAUCAAUACUGAAACUUCCUGGGUUUCCAAAGAACUUUAAAGAGUUACUUUAUAAACAUGGAUGUCACGUUAUUCCAAAAUCAUGCCAUACAGAUCAUUGGGCCCUUACAAAGUGUUGGUUUGUAACUUUUUCGUGCAUGGAACGUGAGCUGAUAAACAACAUGAAUAACCACCACAAGAAAUGUUACAAGAUUCUGAAGUCACUAAUCAGCAGUGAUAUAACCAUGUCAAGAAAAUGCAUGAACUUGUCAUCUUAUACUCUGAAAACUGCAUUCUUGUUUCAUGUAUAUGGAGAAAACGGAUGUUUAUACUCAAGAACAUUGUCGGCAUGUAUUUGCGAAAUUUUAGACUAUAUGUCGUUAAAUCUAUAUUAUUCC
rnacentral:misc_RNA from 1 species